UACGGAGGGUGCAAGCGUUGCUCGGAAUUAUUGGGCGUAAAGGGCUCGUAGGCGGUUUGUCGCGUCGGGAGUGAAAACCCAGGGCUUAACUCUGGGCUUGCUUUCGAUACGGGCAGACUAGAGGUAUGCAGGGGAGAACGGAAUUCCUGGUGUAGCGGUGAAAUGCGCAGAUAUCAGGAGGAACACCGGUGGCGAAGGCGGUUCUCUGGGCAUUACCUGACGCUGAGGAGCGAAAGUGUGGGGAGCGAACAGG
rnacentral:rRNA from 1 species